AGAGUUUGAUCAUGGCUCAGAGCGAACGCUGGCGGCAGGCUUAACACAUGCAAGUCGAGCGGGCGUAGCAAUACGUCAGCGGCAGACGGGUGAGUAACGCGUGGGAACAUACCUUUUGGUUCGGAACAACACAGGGAAACUUGUGCUAAUACCGGAUAAGCCCUUACGGGGAAAGAUUUAUCGCCGAAAGAUUGGCCCGCGUCUGAUUAGCUAGUUGGUGAGGUAACGGCUCACCAAGGCGACGAUCAGUAGCUGGUCUGAGAGGAUGAUCAGCCACAUUGGGACUGAGACACGGCCCAAACUCCUACGGGAGGCAGCAGUGGGGAAUAUUGGACAAUGGGCGCAAGCCUGAUCCAGCCAUGCCGCGUGAGUGAUGAAGGCCCUAGGGUUGUAAAGCUCUUUUGUGCGGGAAGAUAAUGACGGUACCGCAAGAAUAAGCCCCGGCUAACUUCGUG
rnacentral:rRNA from 1 species